rnacentral:rRNA from 1 species
AUUGAACGCUGGCGGCAGGCCUAACACAUGCAAGUCGAGCGGCAGCGGGAAAGUAGCUUGCUACUUUUGCCGGCGAGCGGCGGACGGGUGAGUAAUGCCUGGGAAAUUGCCCAGUCGAGGGGGAUAACAGUUGGAAACGACUGCUAAUACCGCAUACGCCCUACGGGGGAAAGCAGGGGACCUUCGGGCCUUGCGCGAUUGGAUAUGCCCAGGUGGGAUUAGCUAGUUGGUGAGGUAUGGCUCACCAAGGCGACGAUCCCUAGCUGGUCUGAGAAGAGGAUCAUCCACACUGGAACUGAGACACGGUCCAGACUCCUACGGGAGGCAGCAGUGGGGAAUAUUGCACAAUGGGGGAAACCCUGAUGCAGCCAUGCCGCGUGUGUGAAGAAGGCCUUCGGGUUGUAAAGCACUUUCAGCGAGGAGGAAAGGCCAGUAGCUAAUAUCUGCUGGCUGUGACGUUACUCGCAGAAGAAGCACCGGCUAACUCCGUGCCAGCCGCCGCGGUAAUAC